rnacentral:lncRNA from 1 species
UGAAGUGUGAGGUAAGCGGGAUCCCAACCUUUCGCUCAACUUGUCGCAGCCGUAACUCCCCUGCCCUGUGAUGCCAUAGACGGCCUCCUCCGGCGACGCCACCUCCUACCCUCACAUCACGCUGGGCAUCCACCUUCCCCUGCAUCGGGGCCAUUUGUGCUGGUGUGGUGCGUGUGAGACGCCGACCGCUGAAGCUGUUCAAAUUUCAGGUAGUUGUCCCGCUGAGACGUUCAAGCAUUACCGUAUAACAAGUUCAGUUAUGGCGUUAGGUGCGGAUUCAGAUGCACUCACGUUGUUGGCCUGGGUUUGUAAAAUAGUAAAAGUCCAAGUGUGACUGUAUAAGUUGUUGCAUAGCAUAUCCCUCCAUUAGGUGCAUUUCUGCUAUAAAGUGCAGGGAGUAGCUGAGUUACCUGAAACAUUCAUGGACAUAUACGUACAAACAAACUUAUCCAUCAAACUUAUUCAUGAACCCUUUGCACUCUCUUAUAGUGUACAUCUGCAUGGUAUUUCAGUGUUCGCUGUUUCAGAAUCAUCGCUCCCAUCAGUUAGCUGCUGAUCUAUGGAGUCUGAAGCGUGUGUUCCCAAGGUUCAGACGACAGCACACUUAAAAAUGCUGGUGAAAAAUCUCUGAACAUGUACAGUGCAAUCAUGGAAAAAACUUGAAACUUUAUCACUUAACCACUGCUGAUAUCUCUUAUAGCUUUUUGUUAUGCAUUCUUCGCCGAGUGCUACCACUGAACAUAUGUAUAGGAG